CUUCCUCUCUAUCUCUCUCUGGUUUCCACCUCUCCAAAAUAACGCAAAAUCAUAUGAAUCUGAAAGGUGACUCCAUAGUUUUCCAAGACAUCGCCAGUGAUUUCUCCACAUUGGUCCUGUUUGAAUACAAUCUGUUCAUGACUGCGACCACUAGAGACGGGUGCGUUCUUGCUAAAUCUCGACAUUAAUUUGGCAGGUAAUCAAUCGUAAAUCUCCAAAUUUGAUUGUUACGCUUCUGUUUUCUUUCUAAUUGUUGAUGGUUUUGGGUGUAAUUUUUGGUCGUUUGUGUUUGGUACCAAAAUGAUUUAAUCUAACCAUCAUUAGAUCUUGGGGUACUAUUUGUUUUGUGUUGAUUGUUCAAUCUAUUGUGAAAACUGUAUGAUCGGGUAUUUUUAGGUAAUUAGGGUUUAUUUGUUUCUAUGUAUAGUUUUGUUUGUGGUUUUAGUUAAGUAUAUGCUAACCAAUGUUUUUUUUAGCCUGAUAGAAUGUAUAGUUAGGAUACGUUCUCACAUGUUUGUAAUACAUACGUUCUCACAUGUUUGUAAUACAUGAAAGAAUUAUGGUGAUUUUGAUGGUAAAAUUGGCGUUUUGUUGUAUAAAUCUGUUAAUUUAAUAAUACAUGGAAAGUAUAUACCAGUUAGUGCCAAUGAUAGGAGUACUGGGCUGAAACUUAAAGUUAAGUUUUUGCUUCUUUUUUUUUUUUUUAAUUUAAAAAGGAAAAUAAAAGGAAUGAGCUUUGUUAAUAUCCAAGGUUUAUACAUGCUCUAGUAGCUUGAAGGCACUACUAGGAGCUGUGUACCGAAGAAAUUACUUUACGCAGGUUAUAUAUGACAAAGUUAGUGGAAGAAGCAAAGGUUUUGGCUUUCUUACAAUGUCAUCAGUCGAAGAAGCUGUUCAUAAAUUCAACGGAUAUGAGCUCGAUGGGAGAGCACUGAGGCGCGCACAUAGUUAUUUGUUGAUUGUUAUAGGUAUUGGCAAUUAGGAGAAGGCGAUGCAACUGAUCCGUCAAUAUGAGGUAAUUUGACAAACACUGAAGUAAGGCGUAUAGAUAAUUCUAGCGGAGGCUAUGAUGUUAGGGUGCAAUGCCUUUUGGCAUAUCGGUGUCGCUCUGUAUCGUGUAUUUUUUUUACCGAUCGAGAAAAAAAACUUGCUACAUAUCACCUUCAAUAUCUAGGCAACUCAUCAUGUAUAGUUGAGAAGUUAGAGUUAACACUCACAUUUCUGUACCAGUCUCUACCAACUUGUCUACUUAUCACCAUUACGUGGGGCAAUGGCGACUCGGGUUAUUUGUGGCUAUAAAUGGUUAUGAAAUUACAUUGGAUAGUAGGGGUGACGACUACCAUAAUAGAACAACAAAUGGACAACAACGAGGUGCAAUCAGGAGCAGUUUUGGGAUCGAUUACGGCCUUACUGGUCGAACUGUGAGUAACGGCACAGCAACAAGCCGAGAUCUUUGGCAGUUGUGUGGGGGUGUUUUGGGGCUGCUAACGGUGUCUAAACAACCAUUAUAAGUGAUGGUAACGGCUGCUAGAAAAGAUCAUAAUCAGGAGCCCAUGCUUUAACUGACGAAACAGGAUGAAUUCUUCAUCGACUCAGUUUCUCAACUUUAAGAGGAUGGAUGUGUAUGAGCCUAUGCACCAGUUUAGUAUGUGGGGAGAUUUUAAAGGUAACAUCUAUCAAGAUGCAGCUGCAACCAUGUUUAUAGAGAUGGAUGCAAGGCUAGAUAACCAGCUGUCGGAGGAUGCAUCACAUACAACAAAUGGGCCUUCGAAUCAGUGUGAUCAAGAAGCUAGUAAACCGGUUGAUAAGGUACAAGAUAUUGCAUCUUCUUUGCUGACUACGCCACUAGUAUUGAAGUCUUGUUGUCAUCUGAUUAUGUACCUGUAGGUGUAUGUGUCAUUAUAGCUUGUUUUUGUUAAUGUAUAUAUAGAACUUGAACAAACUAAGGCACAUGUAAGUCGAGAUUGAUUCGCCAUCUGUGCAAUAUUACAUUCCAUAGCUUGUU